CACUAUCGUUAACUGAAUACAUAGGUUAACGAGGCGAACCGGGGGAACUGAAACAUCUAAGUACCCCGAGGAAAAGAAAUCAACCGAGAUUCCCCCAGUAGCGGCGAGCGAACGGGGAGCAGCCCAGAGUCUGAAUCAGCUUGUGUGUUAGUGGAACGGUCUGGAAAGUCCGACGGUACAGGGUGAUAGUCCCGUACACCAAAAUGCACAGGCUGUGAACUCGAAGAGUAGGGCGGGACACGUGGUAUCCUGUCUGAAUAUGGGGGGACCAUCCUCCAAGGCUAAAUACUCCUGACUGACCGAUAGUGAACCAGUACCGUGAGGGAAAGGCGAAAAGAACCCCGGCGAGGGGAGUGAAAAAGAACCUGAAACCGUGUACGUACAAGCAGUGGGAGCACCUUCGGGUGUGACUGCGUACCUUUUGUAUAAUGGGUCAGCGACUUAUAUUCUGUAGCAAGGUUAACCGUAUAGGGGAGCCGCAGGGAAACCGAGUCUUAACUGGGCGUUAAGUUGCAGGGUAUAGACCCGAAACCCGGUGAUCUAGCCAUGGGCAGGUUGAAGGUUGGGUAACACUAACUGGAGGACCGAACCGACUAAUGUUGAAAAAUUAGCGGAUGACUUGUGGCUGGGGGUGAAAGGCCAAUCAAACCGGGAGAUAGCUGGUUCUCCCCGAAAGCUAUUUAGGUAGCGCCUCGUGAACUCAUCUUCGGGGGUAGAGCACUGUUUCGGCUAGGGGGUCAUCCCGACUUACCAACCCGAUGCAAACUACGAAUACCGAAGAAUGUUAUCACGGGAGACACACGGCGGGUGCUAACGUCCGUCGUGAAGAGGGAAACAACCCAGACCGCCAGCUAAGGUCCCAAAGUCAUGGUUAAGUGGGAAACGAUGUGGGAAGGCACAGACAGCCAGGAUGUUGGCUUAGAAGCAGCCAUCAUUUAAAGAAAGCGUAAUAGCUCACUGGUCGAGUCGGCCUGCGCGGAAGAUGUAACGGGGCUAAACCAUGCACCGAAGCUGCGGCAGCGACACUAUGUGUUGUUGGGUAGGGGAGCGUUCUGUAAGCCUGCGAAGGUGUGCUGUGAGGCAUGCUGGAGGUAUCAGAAGUGCGAAUGCUGACAUAAGUAACGAUAAAGCGGGUGAAAAGCCCGCUCGCCGGAAGACCAAGGGUUCCUGUCCAACGUUAAUCGGGGCAGGGUGAGUCGACCCCUAAGGCGAGGCCGAAAGGCGUAGUCGAUGGGAAACAGGUUAAUAUUCCUGUACUUGGUGUUACUGCGAAGGGGGGACGGAGAAGGCUAUGUUAGCCGGGCGACGGUUGUCCCGGUUUAAGCAUGUAGGCUGGUUAUCCAGGCAAAUCCGGAUAAUCAAGGCUGAGGUGUGAUGACGAGGCACUACGGUGCUGAAGUAACAAAUGCCCUGCUUCCAGGAAAAGCCUCUAAGCAUCAGGUAACAUCAAAUCGUACCCCAAACCGACACAGGUGGUCAGGUAGAGAAUACCAAGGCGCUUGAGAGAACUCGGGUGAAGGAACUAGGCAAAAUGGUGCCGUAACUUCGGGAGAAGGCACGCUGGUGUGUAGGUGAAGUCCCUGCGGAUGGAGCUGAGACCAGUCGAAGAUACCAGCUGGCUGCAACUGUUUAUUAAAAACACAGCACUGUGCAAACACGAAAGUGGACGUAUACGGUGUGACGCCUGCCCGGUGCCGGAAGGUUAAUUGAUGGGGUUAUCCGUAAGGAGAAGCUCUUGAUCGAAGCCCCGGUAAACGGCGGCCGUAACUAUAACGGUCCUAAGGUAGCGAAAUUCCUUGUCGGGUAAGUUCCGACCUGCACGAAUGGCGUAAUGAUGGCCAGGCUGUCUCCACCCGAGACUCAGUGAAAUUGAACUCGCUGUGAAGAUGCAGUGUACCCGCGGCAAGACGGAAAGACCCCGUGAACCUUUACUAUAGCUUGACACUGAACAUUGAGCCUUGAUGUGUAGGAUAGGUGGGAGGCUUUGAAGCGUGGACGCCAGUCUGCGUGGAGCCAACCUUGAAAUACCACCCUUUAAUGUUUGAUGUUCUAACGUUGGCCCCUGACCGGGGUUGCGGACAGUGUCUGGUGGGUAGUUUGACUGGGGCGGUCUCCUCCCAAAGCGUAACGGAGGAGCACGAAGGUUAGCUAAUCCUGGUCGGACAUCAGGAGGUUAGUGCAAUGGCAUAAGCUAGCUUGACUGCGAGCGUGACGGCGCGAGCAGGUGCGAAAGCAGGUCAUAGUGAUCCGGUGGUUCUGAAUGGAAGGGCCAUCGCUCAACGGAUAAAAGGUACUCCGGGGAUAACAGGCUGAUACCGCCCAAGAGUUCAUAUCGACGGCGGUGUUUGGCACCUCGAUGUCGGCUCAUCACAUCCUGGGGCUGAAGUAGGUCCCAAGGGUAUGGCUGUUCGCCAUUUAAAGUGGUACGCGAGCUGGGUUUAGAACGUCGUGAGACAGUUCGGUCCCUAUCUGCCGUGGGCGCUGGAGAAUUGAGGGGGGCUGCUCCUAGUACGAGAGGACCGGAGUGGACGCAUCACUGGUGUUCGGGUUGUCAUGCCAAUGGCACUGCCCGGUAGCUAAAUGCGGAAGAGAUAAGUGCUGAAAGCAUCUAAGCACGAAACUUGCCCCGAGAUGAGUUCUCCCUGAGACUUUAAGUCUCCUGAAGGAACGUUGAAGACGACGACGUUGAUAGGCCGGGUGUGUAAGCGCAGCGAUGCGUUGAGCUAACCGGUACUAAUGAACCGUGAGGCUUAACCUU
rnacentral:rRNA from 1 species